UACGUAGGGUGCGAGCGUUAAUCGGAAUUACUGGGCGUAAAGCGUGCGUAGGUGGUUCGUUAAGUCUGAUGUGAAAGCCCUGGGCUCAACCUGGGAAUGGCAUUGGAUACUGGUGAUCUAGAGUGCGGUAGAGGGCAGUGGAAUUCCCGGUGUAGCAGUGAAAUGCGUAGAGAUCGGGAGGAACAUCUGUGGCGAAGGCGACUGCCUGGACCAGCACUGACACUGAGGCACGAAAGCGUGGGGAGCAAACAGG
rnacentral:rRNA from 1 species